CGCGGCUCGCGUGUCCGGGGCACGCGGGGACGGGGUUGCGAGGGCGCGUGGCGGCGGCGGCGGCGGGAUCCGGGCGGCGCGCGGCAGAGCCUCAGGGCCCGGUCGCCGCGCCAGCGUCUCUCUCCUGCCUUUCUUUACCGGGGGGCGCGGGGCAUUGUUGACUUGGUUCAACAUUGGAGGGAAUGGCUUCAGAGUGGAGAGGGGUGAUUGCGAUCUGUCGGUUCUUUAACCUCACGUUGAGGGAGGGGUAUGGGAGCUGGAUACAGAGGUCAGAGGCCGUUCAGUAGGGGUCAGAAAAGCUCAGUACAAAAGGGUAGCUGUGAAAAGGCAGAUAAGCCUGCCCUAGUUCAGUGCCCGGCAAAGACCAGCACCUAAACAGUGUGAGUUAUCACUGAUUCUCCAGAUGGGUAAGGAAGAUGAGGAGGGAUUUACAGCACUGGGACAGUGCUCUUCGACUGGCAAAACGCUUGGCCCCAGAACAAAUACCGUUUAUAGCAAAAGAGUAUGCGAUUCAGCUUGAAUCCACGGGAGGUUAUGCAAAUGCUUUGGCCCAUUAUGAGAAAGGAAUAACAGGCGACAAGAAGGAACAGGACGAGCUGAGCCUGGCUGGAGUGGCCCGGAUGUCCAUCCGGAUGGGUGACAUCCGCAGAGGGCUGAACCAAGCCCUCAAGCAGCCCAGCAGGGUCCUGAAGCGAGACUGUGGAGCCGUACUGGAGAAUAUGAAGCAAUUUUCAGAAGCAGCCCAACUGUAUGAAAAAGGCCUCUACUGCAACAAAGCCGCGUCUGUGUACAUCCGCCGUGAGAACUGGGCAAAAGUUCGCGAGCUUCUGCCUCACAUCUCCUCUGCUAAGAUCCACUUGCAGUAUGCCAAAGCUAAGGACGCAGAUGGAAGAUACAAGGAAGCUGUGGUGGCUUACGAGAAUGCCAAGCAGUGGAACGGUGUGAUCCGCCCCUACCUAGACCACCUCAACAACCCAGAAAAGGCCACCAGCAUCGUCAGAGAGACCCAGUCUCUGGACAGGCCAAGGUUUUUCCUACAGCUCGGUGACUGUGGGUCUGCCAUCCAGUUUCUUGUCAUGUCCAAAUUUAACAGUGAAGCUUUCACCCUGGCUUAG
rnacentral:lncRNA from 1 species